AAUUGAACUGAUGUUCUUCGCAAACAUAAACAAGCAGUCCAGGACAAUUAAACAAGUGAUUUGUUCUGCAACAACAGUCAUUUUACAGAGGACAAUGUGUUUAUAAGUUAACUGCAGAGGACACGAUUGCACCACAAUCAUCAUUGUUCAAUCCAGCUCUUUGUGUCCCCACUGAAUCUCAAAGGGCAGAAGGCCACACAAAGGCUGCUUGCACAGACUUUAUUUAUCUUUCUUGGAACGUGCAUCAAGACCAUAUAUCAUCUCUGAGUUCCUGUUGCCUUAAUGGUUCCAGCACCUGAGAGAAUACCCGCUGCGGCAAUGCCCUCCCUCUCUGAGCACUUACAAAAACAAAACCACUCAGCGCACAGCACCUGGAAUCAGUGUGGAGCUAUAACUCUCCUAAGAGUCACCCUGCCCUAUCCUGUGUUCCCUGCUCUGGGCUUGCACUGCGGCAUCGUCCCAGCUCGCAGUUUUCCUCUUUCCGCUCCUCCCGGUCACUCCACAUAACUCUAAUUAUUGGCCCACCCUGCUGAUCCCCAUAAGUUCAGCAGCAACACCUUCAAGGACUUCCUCUCCAUUCAAAACAAGCCCGAAAGCUUCUGCUUCACCGCUCUGAUCUGUGGGAAAAGAGAAACUCACAGCAUGGGCUGCAGCGAUAGGAUUAUGAUAGCACAGAAAUGGGUGUCCUAAGGAAUCAGCGUGUCUCGGUGAUGCCUCACACAGUGUCCAAACCAGACUCAAAGCGAUGAAGCUACAAGCAAUAAAAGGUCACCAAACAGCUCCACUCCCAGAGCAGCGAAGAUGAAGAAAAGCAACAUGAAGAGAAGACCCAGAUUCCCCACCUGUAUAGAGAUAUACAUGUAUAGAGAGAGAGGGAGAGAGCCAGGAGAGUUUGUC